AUGGUGCGGGUGCGUGGCCAGGCGAACGUGGCGGCGGUGGAGAACCGGGGCCGCUUCCUCCGCCUCGCCGAGCCGGGCAUCAACUUCUUCAACCCCUGCGCCGGCGAGCUCGUCGCCAGGACCCUCUCCACCCGCGUCCCGUCGCUCGAGACCAAGACCAAGUUUUUCAGAGGCUUCAACGGCAGAAACUUUGUGAUGGGACCCCUCUUUUGGAUCCAACGCAGAAAGAGCACUCUCAUACUUAAUACCAUGAAGAAAACUUUUAAGAACAGCAUCCUGUGGUGGUCUACCAAUAUCAGCAGGUUUUGUUUCAUCCAUCCAGUAGUCUUAAGUGCUCAAGUUCUUAAGCAAAGCAGGUAUGAGAAGUUUGGCAAUUAG
rnacentral:rRNA from 1 species